rnacentral:rRNA from 1 species
AACGAACGCUGGCGGCAGGCUUAACACAUGCAAGUCGAGCGCCCCGCCAGGGGAGCGGCAGCCGGGUGAGUAACGCGUGGGAACGUACCUUUUGGUUCGGAACAACCCCGGGAAACUGGUGCUAAUACCGGAUAAGCCCUAACGGGGAAAGAUUUAUCGCCCAACGAUCGGGCCGCGUCUGAUUAGCUAGUUGGUGAGGUAACGGCUCACCAAGGCGACGUUGAGUUGCUGUUCUGAGAGGAUGAUCAGCCACACUGGGACUGAGACACGGCCCAGACUCCUACGGGAGGCAGCGGUGGGGAAUAUUGGACAAUGGGCGCAAGCCUGAUCCAGCCAUGCCGCGUGAGUGAUGAAGGCCUUAGGGUUGUAAAGCUCUUUUGUCCGGGAAGAUAAUGACUGUACCGGAAGAAUAAGCCCCGGCUAACUUCGUG